UACGAAGGGGGCUAGCGUUGCUCGGAAUCACUGGGCGUAAAGGGUGCGUAGGCGGGUCUUUAAGUCAGGGGUGAAAUCCUGGAGCUCAACUCCAGAACUGCCUUUGAUACUGAAGAUCUUGAGUUCGGGAGAGGUGAGUGGAACUGCGAGUGUAGAGGUGAAAUUCGUAGAUAUUGGGAAGAACACCGGUGGCGAAGGCGGCUCACUGGUCCGAUACUGACGCUGAGGUGCGAAAGCGUGGGGAGCAAACAGG
rnacentral:rRNA from 1 species